rnacentral:rRNA from 1 species
UCUCCUACGGGAGGCAGCAGUGGGGAAUUUUGGACAAUGGGGGAAAGCNUGAUCCAGCCAUGCCGCGUGNGGGAAGAAGGCCUUCGGGUUGUAAACCNCUUUUGUCAGGGAAGAAAUAUCUUUGGCUAACANCCCGGGGGGAUGACGGUACCUGGAGAAUAACCCCCGGNUAAUUUGGUGCCAGCAGCGGGGGUAAUAAGUAGGGUGCAAGCGUUAUUNGGAAUUACUGGGCUAAAAGCGUGNGCAGGCGGUUGUGAAAGACAGAUGUGAAAUCCCCGGGCUUACCUUGGGAACUGCAUUUGUGACUGCAAGGUUGGAGUGCGGCAGAGGGGGAGGGAAUUCCGCGUGUAGCAGUGAAAUGGGUAGAUUUGCGGAGGAACACCGAUGGGGAAGGCAAUCCCCGGGCCCUGCACUGACGNUCAUCCAGGAAAGCGUGGGGAGCAAACAGGAUUAGAUACCCUGUUAGUCCACCCCCUAAACGAUAUCAACUAUNGUNUGUGUUUUCCUUAUCGGUUCGUAGAUAUC